UAAGUAUAAACAAAUUUUAUUACAUUAUUUAUGCCAUUAGACAAAAUUGAAUGUAUAAAUGUGUGAACAUAAUAAAAAAAAAUAUCCCUUACAUAUUUAAAAAAGACACGACUUGCAUAAUUAAUUUAAAAAACGGUCCACUUUCAGAAGAAAAAAAUAUUAGCCAAUGAAGCUAAGCCUUGCCAGCCGAAAAAAAAAUAUGAUGAAAUUAGAUUUUCCAUAACUCAUCUAGUUUUUAAGAUCUAAGCGUGUCAGACUGACUGACAGACAGGUUUAAACUGUGAAGGUCCACCAAAAAAAUUAAUUAAAUGGUUUGAUUAAAAAAAAAUGUAUGAUCCUUUUUAAUUGUUUUUCACCUAUGUUUUUGUUU